GAUGAACGCUGGCGGCGUGCCUAAUACAUGCAAGUCGAGCGAACAGACGAGGAGCUUGCUCCUCUGACGUUAGCGGCGGACGGGUGAGUAACACGUGGAUAACCUACCUAUAAGACUGGGAUAACUUCGGGAAACCGGAGCUAAUACCGGAUAAUAUAUUGAACCGCAUGGUUCAAUAGUGAAAGACGGUUUUGCUGUCACUUAUAGAUGGAUCCGCGCCGCAUUAGCUAGUUGGUAAGGUAACGGCUUACCAAGGCAACGAUGCGUAGCCGACCUGAGAGGGUGAUCGGCCACGCGUGAACUGAGACACGAUCCACACUCCUGCGGGAAGCAACGGUUGGGUAUAUUUCGCCAUGGGGGAAAGCCUGACGGAGCAACACCGCGUGAGUUAGGAAGGACUUAGGAUCGUAAUACGCUGUUAUUAGGGAAGAACAAAUGUGUAAGGAACUAUGCAAGUCUUGACGGUACCUAAUCAGAAAGCCACGGCUAACUACGUG
rnacentral:rRNA from 1 species